CGGAGGUACUCGAGUGGCGAACGGGUUAGUAACACGUGGGUGAUCUGCCCUGCACUCUGGGAUAAGCCUGGGAAACUGGGUCUAAUACCGGAUAGGACCAUGCUUUAGUGUGUGUGGUGGAAAGUUUUUUCGGUGUAGGAUGAGCCCGCGGCCUAUCAGCUUGUUGGUGGGGUAAUGGCCUACCAAGGCGGCGACGGGUAGCCGGACUGAGAGGUUGGUCGGCCACAUUGGGACUGAGAUACGGCCCAG
rnacentral:rRNA from 1 species